UCAUUAUCGAGUUUUGAACGGGUUGUAGCUGGCCUCAUACUGUGGCAUGUGCACGCCUGUCUUCAUCCACUCUUCAACCUCUGUGCACUUAUUGUAGGCUGGUGAAGGGUCGCAUAGUAAUGUGCGGCUUGAAGCCUGGUCUACGUUUUACUACAAACGCUUCAGUUAUAGAAUGUCUAUCUGCGUAUAACGCAUUUAAUUUAAUAUACAACUUUCAGCAACGGAUCUCUUGGCUCUCGCAUCGAUGAAGAACGCAGCGAAAUGCGAUAAGUAAUGUGAAUUGCAGAAUUCAGUGAAUCAUCGAAUCUUUGAACGCACCUUGCGCUCCCUGGUAUUCCGGGGAGCAUGCCUGUUUGAGUGUCAUGGAAUUCUCAACUUCUAAUACUUUUUUGUAUCAGAAGCUUGGAUUUGGAGGCUCGUGCUGGCUCUCUCGUUAGAGUCGGCUCCUCUUAAAUGAAUUAGGCGUGAAUCACUAUGGAUCGCUUCGGUGUGAUAAUUAUCUGCGCGGUAGUCGUGAAGUAUUAAUAAA
rnacentral:rRNA from 1 species